AUGGAGCGUGGCAGAUGGGGGCAAGUUGUCUUGAUCAUUUGUGAGGAUGUAAAGACUGCAGAUGAACUGAAGACAAAAAUGCAUGGCCAAGAAAGACAACCCAAUCAGAUCACCAUGUACACAAUCAGCGAAAAGCACAACAUCGAGAAACGCAACUUCAGCCAGGGAAACAUCAUCAUCGCUACAAACCUUGGCGGCCGUGGGACAGACAUACAUGUUCAGCAGGAAGUAAACAAGUGUGGAGGUCUCUUUGUGCUCCUCACAUACUUCCCAGGAAGUCAGCGUGUGGAGAGACAGGUCUUUGGGCGCACUGCCCGGAAAGGAAAUCCAGGGAUGGUGCAGAUGAUACUCAACCAGGACUACCUUGCACCAGCAUACCAAGGCCAGUCAGUUGAAACCAUGAGACAACUCCGAGAGGAGUACGAGGUCAGCCGUUUACACAGUAUGGAGAGAGAUGAGCUGUUCGAAAUCAAAAUGAAGGAAAAUCUGUUCUCCAUAUUUUGUACAUAUCUCUGUGACUUUGACAAGAACUACACACAGGAGGAGAAGAGUGACUUCAUACAAAUGAAGGAUGUUCCAGAGUGCUUUAGGAGCUAUCGUAAAAAGUUUGAUUAUCAGAUUGCACUCAAUGCUUUGAAAGAAUCGUGGGCUUUGUGGCUCAUUCUCCACAAAGAGCAUAUCAGUAGGCAUGAUGACAUCAAUACGCUGAGAGAAGACUUGAAGAAACACUUGAGGAAUACAGGCAUCCAUCUCCUCCAGGGGAGAAGCAAGAAUUUCUAUGAUUACAUCAAACAGGCAAAAAGCAGAACCGAUUUGUACUGCAUCGACAAGAAGAAACCUGACUGUGGAGCCAUGUUUUACUGGCGGAGUGCUGCAGAGUGUGAUCCUUUCUACAGUGCUGUGGCACUUUACAGUCAAGCAUACGUCACGAUCAACCUAGGAAAGAAGGACUACAUAAUUAAGGCAAGAAUAUUAUUGGAGAACGCAAAGACUGCAGUGGAUGUCUUCCUCUCAGAGUCAACAAACACAAUGAUGCUUUGUAAUUUGUCAGUGACAAGUGACUUUGCACCACACCGCAAAGACACCAAUCUACAGACCCAAAUGCAAGCCAGGAUGAAUAUCUUCAAAUCUUGGAAAGAAUACAUUGAAAAUUCACUGAAAACUCUUAAAGAACUUGAGAGCAGCAGAAGUGAUGCAAUCACAGAGGAUUCCAUUGUCUACAAUCUUUCAAAAGACAAAGAUCCCAUCACCACUAAAGAACUGAUAGCACUCGAUGAGUACGGCCUGGGCAUUGUAUUCCAGAUUAAAAAGAAGCCUGAAUUCUGCUACGAUGCCCUUGGUUGUUUUAUUCUUGGUUUUCUUCAAGUAGCAGCGGGUGUUCUUGUUUGUACUCUGUCAUGCGGCACCGCCAGUCAGUUUGGACUUGGAUUGAUCAGCGAGGGGGUAUGUGACAUGAUCCAGGGGAUCAAAGGCAUGAUACAGGGAGGCUUUGACUGGGCUGAGUGGGCCAUCUCCAAAGCCAUCAGCAUCGGGGUGUCUCUGCUCUGUGGUGGAUUCGGCCGACUCAAGAAAGCUGUGAGUGCAGCACGUAGCGGCGCAAAAGGUCUGAUCACGGGGGCUAAGUGUACCUCUGUCAUUACAGUGAAACAGUGUUUGAAGCAUGCAACGAAAUACACUGUUCAGGAACUGGCAAAGCAAGGAUGUGUCGACGUUCUGAGUCAUGCUGUUGACAAGGGACUUAAAGCUCUUUUUCAAAAAGUUCUGACGCAAGCCUUCAAGGACAAGGUAGUUUCAUUGAUAAAAGCAAAUGCUCUCCUGGGUAAGGCUCUCACAGAUUUAAUUUGCUCAGGAAUACCAAAGGAUGCCCUGGAAAAUGGGUGUAGUGACUUCACAAUUGACAAGGGAUGUGAGGGACAAAUGUGUAAAUCAGUGGAUGUGAUGACAAGACAAGUUAUUCCUGACCUAAUGAUGGAUUGUACCACGGUCAAUAAGGUGGUUGAUGGACUUUCAAAUGUCUGUGGUGCUGUAACACAGCUUAUAAAGGACGAGAAACAGUUUGCUAAAAUGGAAAAAGUAACAAUGUGUUUGCAAUCAGCUAAAUAUAUCACGCUUUAUGUACAAAUACUGAAUUCAUGUCCUACAGAGCAGGUCAUCAAUAGAACCUUUGUUCCUAAAUUGUUGCAAACUAUGGAUAAACUACCACAAGAGAAGUAUGAGGACCAGGAUGGAAGACAUAGUUUAUCAGAUGUGAAACGCCUUAAAGAUGAACUCAUCAACAUUAUUGCAGAAAGUGUUUCAAACUCAUUCAUCCAGGCUUGUUCUAGGCACCUGACCUCCUUAACGACCAAAAGGUUCUUGAGUCAAAUAAACUACGCUGCUGGUAGUGCUGUCAGCAAUAUACUCGGCAGGGGGGACACCAAAAGUUUCUUUGACAACCAGCUGUAUAAGCACAAUAUGAAUGUGGCCAGCCACAGUUCAUGUGAGAUUCUGUCGGAGCCUGAGGAGAAAGACUUAAUGUGUUACAUAGAGGACAUUUGUGAUGUUGACCGCCCUGCUACGGCUUUGGACAUCCACGUUCUCACCCAGAGUGAUUCUCUCGAAGGCAAAGGCAUCAAAUUGAUCGCGGUGGACAAAAGUGGGAACAAGCUUUCAGAAGAUUAUUACCCUGGGAAGGACAGCUCAGCCGAUGACAUAGUACUCCUUCUGAAGAAGGAGCCAGAACGGACGGAAGGAUUCCUCUCGGGAUUAAAACAACGGCUCUGUGGUGAACAGAGCCCAUACAGUGGACAUUUUGAAAUUCUGGGACUGGAUGGUACUACGAUCCCGGUCAAUUCAGAGGGUCAAAACUGCCUAUAUCAUGCUGUUGUCCAGGCAACAAGCAAAAACCAGGGUGAUAUAACAAAUCAGGCAGUGAGCCUUCGGAAUGAGGUCAAACAUGCUCUUCAAAAAAAUGUACACCGAUACGCAAAACUUUUGCAGCUGCAGAAGGGAUAUGAAGAAACAUACAAAUCCCCCGAAAAAUAUACCAUCUCUGGAGGGGGAGAAAAGACACGAAAUGAGUCAAAAAAAAAAUAUAUGGACCGCUUCAACAAGACUGACAUGAGAGAUUUACCUGAAGGUGAUGUGUCUGUUAUCAAGACCUACAAUCUUGGUAUGAUUGGAAAGCAUCAUGAUUUACUCGGCACAAACAAUAACAAUAACAAGAUAAUUGUGAAUGCAGACCACAUUCCACCUAAAAAUACUUUUCACAAGGCUUUGGAAAUCUUGAAUACAACAGGAAUGCAUGACGAACUAGAAAAAAAGAAUCCAUCGCUUUAUAGAAUGAUAACUGCUGAUAAUAGGGACAAGGGGCUAUGCAGACAAGUUCUUGUGGAAGAUCACAGAAUAAUCCUGACCACCGGAAACAGCAAAGUGGCUCAUAAAAUCAGGGAAAAGCUUGCUUACGCUGCUGCUGACGGAGAUGUUGAAAAACUGAUCAAGAUGUCAGUGAUGGUGGCCAAUCCAGAGAUUUCACAAUCUUUCAGGAAGGAUGCAGGAAUACCCCGAGGUAAACAAAGACGUGCUAUUUUGUCCAAAGAAGCAACCAGGCAGUACCAUAACAUUGGAGACAAACUGCUCGUGGAAGGUUACUUGAAAGCGGGUCUCAUAGACCUGAACACAAGUAGAGAUCUUAUGACAUGGCUGGAUCAAGGGCAUCUCUAUUCAAAGAACACAUCAGAGUAUCAUGAACUCCUCAAUGUGAUGAGACCUGAAAACUAGACUUCUACAGAUUUCUCUCAUACCUAUGUGAAAAUGAAUUGAUGAACAACUAGGAAAUGAGAGUCAAACAUGAAUAAAGGUUUUUUAAAAGCCA
rnacentral:lncRNA from 1 species